rnacentral:rRNA from 1 species
UACGUAGGGUGCGAGCGUUGUCCGGAAUUAUUGGGCGUAAAGAGCUUGUAGGCGGUCUGUCGCGUCUGCUGUGAAAAUCCGGGGCUCAACCCCGGACUUGCAGUGGGUACGGGCAGACUAGAGUGUGGUAGGGGAGACUGGAAUUCCUGGUGUAGCGGUGAAAUGCGCAGAUAUCAGGAGGAACACCGGUGGCGAAGGCGGGUCUCUGGGCAACAACUGACGCUGAGGAGCGAAAGCGUGGGGAGCGAACAGG